rnacentral:rRNA from 1 species
AAGCGCAUUGCGUUGAAUUGAAGAGGUGGGAUGUUGUUCAGCUUCCUUGUGGAGUGUACUCAGCAUUUCGUCUACCUGUCGUGGGCUCGUGGUGGUGGAUUUUGCACUGCCGCGGGCUGAGGGAUCCCCUUUUUCUUUUAAAAGGGUGAAGACGAUAGGGCGCCGACGCGAUACGACCCGUCUUGAAACACGGACCAAGGAGUCUAGCGUAGCUGCGAGUCGUAGGGAUUCAAUCCUGAGGGCGCAGUGAAAGCGAAUUGUUCAUCUAUAAAACGAUGCAGUUUGAGGCGGCAUACGAUCUUUGAUUGUAGGUCCGACCUAGAGCAGUUAUGCUAGGACCCGAAAGAUGGUGAACUAUACCGGAGUAGGGCGAAGCCAGAGGAAACUCUGGUGGAGGCUCGUAGCGGUGCUGACGUGCAAAUCGCUCGUCGAACUUGGGUAUAGGGGCGAAAGACUAAUCGAACCAUCUAGUAGCUGGUUUCCUCCGAAGUUUCUCUCAGGAUAGCAAGCCGUAUGUAUGUUGUUGUGUGUGGUAAAGCGAAUGAUUAGCGUAUUUGGGGGCAUUUUGUCUCCAGUCGAUUCUCAAACUUUAAAUGCGCACGGACGUUGCUGCUUUUCGGAGCGGCGUCGUUAAAAACUACGGCUUUGUGGGCCAAUUUUGGUAAGCAGAACUGGCGAUACGGGAUGAACCGUAAGCGUGGUUAAGGCGUCAAAUUAUCCACUUAUAGACCCCAAAAAAGGUGUUGAUUCAUCGAGACAGCAGGACGGUGGCCAUGGAAGUCGGAAUCCGCUAAGGAGUGUGUAACAACUCACCUGCCGAAUGAAUUAGCCCUGAAAAUGGAUGACGCUGAAGUGGAUAGCCGACACCACGCCGUCUGAACAAGUUUUUGUUUUCAGAUGAGUAGGAGGACGUGGCGGUCGUAUAGAAGCGUGGGUGCAAACCUGCGUGGAACGGCCGCUAGUGCAGAUCUUGGUGUUAGUAGCAAAUAUUCAAUUGAGAACCUUGAAGGGCGAAGCGGGGAAGGGUUCCACGCGAACAUUGAUUGGGCGUGGGUAAGUCGUUCCUAAGCCGCGUGGCAAUAGCUAAUUAUCGGCGAAAGGGAAGCAGGUUGACAUUCCUGCACACGGAUGUAGAGGCGGUGACGCACUUCUGGAGCAAUAAAGCUGGCGAUGGCGCUAGGCAGAGUUUUCUUUUCUGUUUAACCGUGCUGUGCGCGCUGUGUGAAAUCCGCUUGUCGGGAGAAACACGCGUGUUCGGGCAUAGCGCCGGGGUUUUUCCGGCGUCUAGCUAGCCAUCGACGGACCUUGAAACAUUGCUUGCUGGCAGAAUUCGAAAGGGUUCUGUGUGAAAAAAUCUACGCCGUAACGUACCGAUAUCCGCAGCAG